GCGCUUCUAGCUCAACGGUAGAGCACCGGACUUUUAAUCCGUAGGUUCUGGGUUCGAAUCCCAGGGGGCGCAC
rnacentral:tRNA from 1 species